rnacentral:rRNA from 1 species
UCCAUGGAGAGUUUGAUCCUGGCUCAGAACGAACGCUGGCGGCGUGGAUUAGGCAUGCAAGUCGCGCGAGGAAUGGACUGUACUUUUUUGACCGUAAGGUUAAGAAAGUACGGACUAUAGCCGAGCGGCAAACGGGUGAGUAAUACGUGAAUAAUCUGCCUUUAAGUUAGGAACAACUUGCCGAAAGGCGGGCUAAUACCAAAUAACAUUACGUUUUCGCAUGAAGAUGUAAUUAAAGAUGGGGAUCAUUUGGUUCUCGUAAGAGAGUCAAAUGACCUGUCGCUUGAAGAGGAGUUCACGUCCUAUCAGCUUGUUGGUAGGGUAAUGGCCUACCAAGGCAUUUGACGGGUAGCUGGUCUGAGAGGAUGGUCAGCCACACUGGGACUGAGACACUGCCCAGACUCCUACGGGAG